rnacentral:rRNA from 1 species
UACGAGGGGGGCGAGCGUUGUUCGGAAUUAUUGGGCGUAAAGAGCGUGUAGGCGGUUUGGUAGGUCCGCUGUGAAAACUCGAGGCUCAACCUCGAGACGCCGGUGGAAACCAUCAGACUAGAGUCCGGAAGAGGAGAGUGGAAUUCCUGGUGUAGCGGUGAAAUGCGCAGAUAUCAGGAAGAACACCCGUGGCUAAGGCGGCUCUCUGGGACGGUACUGACGCUGAGACGCGAAAGCGUGGGGAGCGAACAGG